CCUGAUGAGAGGAACUUGCAUUUGUUCUGCAAGCUGAGAAGUAGUAGCUACUUCCAUGAGUACUGCUUCAAAGCCUGGCUGAACGGGCUGCUGGGCACUACUGGGCUCCAGCUCAAUUGCUGAGUCUUCCACCAGCAUCUCAUCCUCAUGUUUCCAAGCUAUCCACAACAUCACUCAAGAUUCAUAAACUCAUCUAAAUAUACUUGUUAUCUACUCCAGACACCAAAAGACCAUGCAUAUUCAUCUUCUAUUUGGCACCUCUGGAUGGUGUGCAUUGUGGCCACAAAUCAAGGAGGAAAGGAUGGAGCGUUUUGGAGGGAUGUCAUCUCCACCUCAGCGAAGUCCCCAGCUGGACUGUAGUGCAGUCCCAGUGCCUUGAGCUGCAAUGUAACAGCUGCUGAGCAAUUCUCCCACCGCACGCACCGCCUCAUCCACUCAUGCUCUGCUGGCUCUAUCUAUCCAGCUGUUUUCUAUUCUGUUUGCUCUUCUCCUCUCCACCUUCCCACCCACCCCUCAAGUGCUUCCUUUCCAUAGAAGAGAAAGAAGUAGAAACACCUAGCUGGAGAGGAGGCCUGAGGACUGUUGGAUGGCAAUUGCGCUGGGUCACAUCCAAGCAAUCAUGUGGUGCAGGUGUUGGUACGUCAGAAAUGAGCCUAAGAAGACCAGAGAGAAUUUCUGUUGAUUGAGUGAAUGUUUUAUACUGAAUCCUCCACUCUCUUGGGAGCUCUUCCAUUGAGUCAGCACAGCAAACUCAUCACCAAAAAGUCUGUAUGAGGAAGCCUGUAAUAGAGCACAGGGGAAGCAGGAACAGUUUCGAAACCUGGUGCUCAACAGGAUGAGGAGCCAGAUGCCCCGGGACUGCUUCUGAUAUUAUUCAAGCAGAAUAUGCAGCGUUUGGAACACACUCCUGCACCUGAUGAUUCUGGUACUUUCCAGCUGUUUAAUAAGAGUUCUGUAUAUUCCCACUCACCCCUGUACUUGCAGGUGGUUGAAUCAAAUUGUUGGCAGUGAACUGAUUUUCUAGGCCUCUCUGAACUUUGGAGUCCUGCUCUCUUUCAGUCCUUGCCCUUUGCUCUGAUGAUGCUGGGAGGAGGAAGUAGGCAAUCCUCUCUUGCCCCAGCCCUGUGCCCCGCUGCCUACCUUUCCACACUCAUCUCCCUGAUGGAAUGGCCUGUUCUCCUGCCAGCUCUCCCUUCUUGUGCUGGUGACUCAGCAGGUGCAUAAAAGAUUAAUGUUUCUUGUUCGUCGAUUCCGUCUAUCCUCCGGGGUCUCCCCGGUUAGGCCCAACAUUGCUCUGUUUAUGAGUUCUGACAGGAGAGCAGCCUGCAGUGGGUGAUUGAGGUCAGGUGACCUUUUGAGGUACAAGGUCAGAGGCGGUUUCUAGUCCAGCUUAUUUUCACUAUCCACUUACAUCCCCAAAUACACAUAUGCACAAAAAAUACCUGAGAAUAACCAGAGAUGCAUCAUACAGGUAAGCAAGGGCACUGCUCUGACCCUUGUUUCUUGUGGUUUCUGGCAUUUUGCAUGCAUCCUGGCUUGCUCCCUCCCACUGCAGUAUCAUUAUAGGGGUUUAUGGGGCUAUUAGCUUUAAAGUUUUAUAAAGCAGGUGACACGUUGAGAAUUAGACAACACACACAGGGAGGGAUCUUGCAGGAAAAGGAAGGGGGAUUGCCUUGCAGUUCAAAGAGUGAGUCUUCUGGUACCCACAGAAUUAAACCUGUGUCAUUCAGGACUGUCUGGGUGUAAGGGGUUUGUGCUGAGGCUCAUCUCCCAUGUAUGUGAUUGGUUUUGCUUUAAUACACAUAUAAACUGCUACAUUCAGAAUCAGAUGCAGGUUAUGGAGCUUUGUGUGUGCCAAAACGCUGAGGUACAUACAGCUGUACUACUUUAUUAUCAUGACUAAGAGUGCAUGCUUACUGUUUGCAAUUGUUUUCUCUGUGGUAGUGCAAUCUUGCUUUAAAAAUGUUUUUUCUUGCUUAUUUUCUGAAAUUGAUUUGGUUAAGGUUUUGUCAUGCAUUGGCAUUGCCCACCCACACAAGAAAGACCAUAUCCAAGCUGCGGUACUUACCUUCACAUUGACCUCUGUAGAUCCUAGGCCCAAAUUCCUCCAUAUCCCUUUUUUUUUUUUACUUUCUUUCACUAGUUUAGUUUCCCAAUAUUUGUUCAUAGAGUAUUUGCCUGGUUUUACCAUAAUGACCUACAAUUUGACUGAUUUUUUUUUCAAAACUGCAAAACGUUACAUGAUUGCAUACUUACACAUCUCAGAAACAGCUUUUUUCUUACUACUUUCAUAGGAUCAUAGAAAUGGAAGGAACUCCAAGGCAUUUAGCCUAAUUUCUGCCCUGUCAGAAUACAACACCAACAUACCACCCAGAAGAGGCCAUUUAAACUCUGUUUAAAAGUCUACAGUGAAUGAGAGUCAAUUACCUUAAAAGGUACAAGUUUACUUCAACUUAAUGGUGAUCUUAUGAAUGGGAAAUCUUUGAAUCACCCUGCCAUGAACAGCCCUGCUCAAACCUUUCAAACUCAGGGCAGCUGUGAAUUCUUUGAUUGAGUCUAUCCAAUCCAUCUGUAAUGUGGCCUUCCUAUUUUCCUGCUGCCUUCUACCAUCCUAGGUAUUAUUGUUAGUUCUUUAUAGGGCUUUUGCCACUCUAGUUUAUCCUCCUCUGGACAAUUUGCCAAUGUCUUAAACUGUGGUGCCCAGAAUUGGAUGCAUUAUUCCUGAUGAGGUUUGUCCAAAACAAACUAUAUUGGUGCUUUUGAUCUGGAAAUGAGAAUUACGCUAAUGCAGCCUAGAAUUGCAUUUGCUCCCCAUCCCCCACACAUACCUUUAUGGCUGCUGCAUCACACUGUUAACUGAUGUUAAACUUCUAAUCUACCAAGACCCCUACAUUCUUUUUACAUGUACUGCUGUCAAGCCAUGUGUCACCCAUCUUCUAUUUGUGCAUCUAAUUUUCCAGCUCAAAUGUAAUGCCUUGCAUUGAUUCUGUUGGAAUUCAUUUUGUUAAUUUUGGCCCAGCUCCCCCAUCUGUUACGGUUGUCAUGAAUACUGAAGUAUUAGCUCCCUCUUCCAGUUUGGUGUCAUCUGCAAACUUGAUGAGCAUGCCCUCUAUUCCAAGUCAUUUAUAAAACUGUUGAAUACAGCACCCUAGGAUACAACUCAGUGGCAUCCCACUUGUUUCUUAUCACUAAGACAAUGAGGAAUGGUCUGUAAACCACUUUCAAUUAUACUGAGCAGUACAUUGUGUCAGACAUAUUUUACCAGGUUGUCUUCAAGAAUAUCACACAAGAGCCUCUCAACAGCCGUACUGAUAUCAAGAUCAACCGCAUCAAGAGCAUCCCCCUGGUCUAUCAAGCUUGUAACCCUAUACAAAAAUUUGAUAGAAUUUGUCUGGUUUAUCUUUUUUGUGUGUGUUUUUUUUUAAGAACUCCAUGAUGGCUCAUUGUAAUCAAGAUAUUCUUUUCUAAGUGGUCACAUGUCACAUCAUAGAAACAGGUAUACUGAAAUUCUGGAUGUUAUUGAUAUAUAGUUGCAAUAAGGAGUAAAUAUAAAAAGAACUCUGUUAGUUUAGACCAGUGGUUCUCAACCUGUGGGCCGCAGACCAGCAGUGAUCCACGAGAAUGAAAAUCCGGUCCACGAACUCUCUAUUUAUUUUAUUUUAUUAAUUUUAUUUCUGCUCCUUUCCACAGAGCUGACCAUUUUAUUGGAUAGACCACAUCAGCUCUAG